rnacentral:tRNA from 1 species
AAUGAAGUGCCUGAAAUUUAUAAAGGAUUAUUAUGAUAUAAUAAAUAAUGUAAUUAUUAAUAUUUACCUUCAUUA